GACGAACGCUGGCGGCGUGCUUAACACAUGCAAGUCGAACGAAGAGCGAUGGAAGCUUGCUUCUGUCAAUCUUAGUGGCGAACGGGUGAGUAACGCGUAAUCAACCUGCCCUUCAGAGGGGGACAACAGUUGGAAACGACUGCUAAUACCGCAUACGAUCUAACUUCGGCAUCGAGGUUAGAUGAAAGGUGGCCUCUAUUUAUAAGCUAUCACUGAAGGAGGGGAUUGCGUCUGAUUAGCUAGUUGGAGGGGUAACGGCCCACCAAGGCGAUGAUCAGUAGCCGGUCUGAGAGGAUGAACGGCCACAUUGGGACUGAGACACGGCCCAGACUCCUACGGGAGGCAGCAGUGGGGAAUCUUCCGCAAUGGACGUAAGUCUGACGGAGCAACGCCGCGUGAGUGAUGACGGCCUUCGGGUUGUAAAGCUCUGUUAAUCGGGACGAAUGGUUCUUGUGCAAAUAGUG
rnacentral:rRNA from 1 species